GAUGAACGCUAGCUACAGGCUUAACACAUGCAAGUCGAGGGACCGGAGCACGGGUGAGUAACACGUAACCAACCUGCCCUUUAGUGGGGGAUAGCCUUUCGAAAGAAAGAUUAAGACCCGCGAUAAAGGAUGGGGGUGCGUUCAAUUAGGUUGUUGGUGAGGUAACGGCUCACCAAGCCUUCGAUGGAUAGGGGUUCUGAGAGGAAGGUCCCCCACAUUGGAACUGAGACCCGGUCCCACUCCGUACGGGAGGCGGCAGUAAGUAAGAUUGGUGAAGGAGCGCUUGCCUGAGCCAGCCAAGUUGCGUGAAGGAGGAAGGCUGUUGUGACGUAAACUUCUUAUAUAUAAAAAUAUGGUUUCUAUGGAUAAGGAUCGGCCAACUCAGUGCCAGCAGCCGCGGUAAUAC
rnacentral:rRNA from 1 species